CGCGCGCCGCGGGUGGGCGGGGCCUGGCGGGGCAUCGGCCGGCGGGCGCUCCGCAACCCCUCACUGCCCUUGGAGCCGCCGGUUCGAGUCCCGUGUCCGCGCCCCGCCCGGCUGAGGUGUGCAAGUGUUUGUGAUCUGAUAACACAAGAUCAGUGCUUAGAAGGAUGAUCAGGAGCUGAAACACUCAUCAAACUCCUAAAGGUUCUGGAAUCCUGCACGUUGAAACCAUAGCUCUGUAACAUCAUUUAUUCCAAGAAGGAAAGAUAAGCCCUUCUGUCAUUUA
rnacentral:lncRNA from 13 species